GCCAACACAGUCCUCCUCCUCCUCCCCGCCACCAGCACCCUGAGCCCACAGUGCCUGAGGCUACCUACUGAGUCAGCAGGAGGGAAAGGUGUCUGCAUGGCUGUGGCAUAAGAACAAGAGAGGCAGCACAAUAGCUGGAGCGGGAUGAAGGGGGGGGGUGAGCAGAAAUACUUUUUAUUUUUUAACAAUGCAGAUAGGAAAAGGCAAUAUAGCAGAGAGAUAAAAGAUAAUUAAUGACAUAAUCGAGCUGGAUAAUCCUUUUUAUUUCUCACACGCAAAUAAUAAUCGUGUUUAUAUGUUUAACUCCACUGCAUGUUCGCAGAAUAAAUAACAUCUUCCGAGCGCCGGGUGUUCAGUGAAAACACUCGGCGGCCUCCGUGCGGAUCCGCCGCUCGUGCCAGGCCUUGGCACGGCCCGGCCGGCGCUUGGCCGCAUCUCAGACAGCGGACGCAGACGGAGGAAUGCUGCAGACACUCACCAUUGUGUGUGGAAGAGGCGGAGGAAUGCGGGCCGCCCCGGCCACGUACGCCGACGCCAAAGAACACAGCCAGAGGCCCGGGGCCGCGCGGGGCGGCCGGGGCCGCGGGCCCCCGCGGGCACACGCCGCCCCGGCCUCCGUCGGCCGCCUCAGAGGCGUCUUCAGGGGCCGGACGGAGCCUCCGAGCAGCCGCAUGCGCAACGGCCGGUGGAUCAGAGGAGCAGGUCUCUUUGUUUUGAUUAUUCAGCAUAUCUGCGUUCAUAUUGUGACCCAUUAAUGUUAAGCCAGCUAAAGGUUAACUGACCAGACAUCUGACCCCGCAGAGCGAGUACUUUCCAGCUCCAGCCAGUUCUUUCUCCGCUGUUUUGCAACUCUCAUGCAAAAAAAAAGAAAACCCUCACACUGAGCGCUGGUUCUGUAACAGCGGAUUCACGUGAAGCGCAGCAGAGAUUGGGAUGGAGGACAGGAUGGACGGUGGACUUCCUCUUUCACUUCCUAUAUGAGGGUCCAGUCAAGUGACUCUUUGUGAGAGUGUUAGCUUGUGUGUCGCAGGAAAACGCAACUUUGGCGGCUGUGGUUUCCGUUCAGGAUGUCCAGUCGUUUCUGAGCACAGUUGUGACACUGUGAAUCAUGCAGCGCUCACACACGCACACAGGCAUCUCCAUGGACGUGGGACGCACACACACGCACACACACGCAUGCAUAUGCAACUACAGACAUGCGUUUGCUCUUUUUUUGUGCUUUCGCAUGUUUUUCAAAUAACAUCAUGUGACCGCGAUGAAUGAUUUAUGGCUAUAAACCUUAUUUCUCUUCUCCGCUCUUCGCCUUCGCCUGCGUGUGGACUCUGACAACCUUUUUUUGCACUGUUGCCACAUCCUGAAUGAUUUCAUGUGGACACCGCGGAGCGAAGUGUGACAGAGGCCUGACACAUUACAGACCUUGGACUUUGGCUGCAGAGCAAAGCGCUUCCUCCAUGUUUCUCAGAAGCACUGAACUGGAAGCCGCGUGCGCUAUUUGUCCCUUGCAGCUGAUCCGAGCGCGGCCGUAUCGACUCUGCGCUCUCGGCGACUGGAGAGGUUUUGGCGGCGCAGCGUUCACACGCCCAGGCUUCGCUUCUCGGCCCUUCUUUGUCAUCAUGUUCGACAUUGAGCUCUGCUAACACAACUGAGGAACAACCAACUGUGAACUGUGGUCAGACUGUCAGGGAAAGAAACUUGUGAUUAACCAACACUGAGCUUAAGGGAUCUAUUUAAGGGGAUGUAAUCCUUUAUACUACAGUGAACCCAUGCUGUUUUUGUGGUUGAGAUACAGGAAGUACUUUGUUCUGGGAGUUAAGUGCAGAGAAAAAGAAACCCAACUUCUCAAAAAAAUUAAAAGGUUACAAGUAAAGAGGAAUGUUUAAUUAAGGGUGUGAUAAUAGUUCUCACUGGUUUAUGUGACAAAGCUACACGCAAUCAAAUAAAUCUGCUUCUUGAGCCGUUGUCACUGCAAAUAGAAAACAAGCUCAUGGUUAAUGAAAGUGAUGAACAUUAGCAAAUGAAGUGAGAUUUUUUUCUGCCCUACACUAAUUUUACAGCUUUAGUUACUAGUUAUCUUUUGCAGGUGCUGAUGCUUAUUGUUCGUACCUGCAACGUGAUCAUGUUUGCAUACAAAAUCCAUGCAGAGACAACACACACACAUGGUUUGGUCUGAAGUCAAGGCUUCCUUUAAUUCAAAAACUAAAACAUUCAAAAAGAAGACCUGAUAAAGGUGUCUCUAACCAUUCAGGGUUUUCUCUCUCUCACGCACGCACGCACGCACGCACGCACGCAGACACAGUCCCGAGGCCGAUAAAAGGCCUGGGAAAGUAUAAGUUUGACUAUUUCAAUGAUACAUUGAUAAAUUGUAUGUAUAUAUUAACUGGAACCCUUAAGAUGAGGUCCAAAGAGGUGCCUAGACAAGUGAGAGAAUAAAAAGGUGUUGGUACCAGAAAGCUACGAAUCAUAAAUGGCUAAACCAGCGUGUUUAUCAGAUUUCUUGUGUUAACUUCCCUCACAUGAAAGUGUCUAUGUUUCAUUUCAUAUUCAAUGCGGUGGCGCUUUGUGGUGAAACAGCAAAACAAUAUUAUCAUUCAUUCACGCUUUUAAAGUGACAGCACCUGAUGUUUUAAGGACUUCAGGUAUAGUUUGAUGCUUAUACCUGACUUCAUUAACUUCUGAGCAUAAUAACAACAGCAUCACAUAAUUUUAAAGUUUUUAUAGCAGUAGAUUAAAUAUUUACACAAAUAUUUGCACUUUUACUGAAGUGAGUGGAUCUCUUUUGUCCUUGGAUAUGUAUAUUCAUACAUAUGAAUUCAUACCCAUUAAACAUGCUCUAUGAAUGGAGGCAUUAUAGAAAUGUGCCAUCAUCAUUUCACUUAACUGUGGGCAAAUAGUAGAUUUUGGUUCUAUAAUAUAUUUCAAAACACAACCAAUAUUUAGUAGCACUCACUCGUUUAGCCUCAUAAUUAUGGCAUAAAAAUCACAAGAUCACUAGGACGCAUCCACAAUUUUAUGACCAGACGAGUGUUCAAAGAAACACCACCCACGUGCAGCUGAGCAGCGGCCUGCAGCACUAACACACUCAAGCUGUACAACAGCACAUGUUGGCGACCUUUGACCUCUCACCCAACAGACGCUGGUCUCAGGCGCCGGGAAACGUUCAACUGUCCGCUUUCCGCUGGAUUUCCUGGAGCACAGGUGAAACCUCAAAUUAGUGAAGACGACACAGAGCCAAAGCGGAGAACGGACCGAAGAGGGGAGAUGUUUAAAAUGCGCCUCGGCUUCUGUUUGGCUGCACUGGUGGAAAACAUUUGAAGGGACUGUGUCAGCUUCAAGUCUCCUUUGCACAGGCGAGGCCAAUAGGUCACAGCGAGUCUGAGAGUGACAGCAGUAAUGGAGCGUGGGGUUAUAUUUAAAUCCCAGGGAGAGGAACAGCCUUCACUCAUGUGUGACUCUCGCACAUCCUCUUUUCAUACAAACUACUGAAACUGUUCUUCUUGAUACGUAGCCUCUAAGAAAAUCAUCCAAAGCACUUGAUGAGAGGAAUUAUUUUCAGAUCCUGAUUGUGAAACCUGUUGCUAAAGUAAGAACGGUCAAUUUUGAAAUAAAGGGAGGAUUAAAUGUGACAUGGAGUGAAAAUACCAGUAGAGUGAGAUGCUCCCCCCUGGUUAGACUUGACUGUAUUGAUGUGAAGCAUUUUUCUUGUUCAGGUACGUUACUGCCCCAGUAAAUGGUGACAGCUGAGGGGUCGGAGUGCAAGCAGCAGCGCUGGACUGAACUGAAAGUCUUUACUGAGCCCCGAUCAACUGAUAAUCUGUCAGAGGUUACAACCCUCAGAACCUGUUGUUCACAGUACGUGCUAGUGAACCAAAUCUCCCAGAGACUAAUCCUUUAAUCGCAAUUAAAUGGCAAGAAACACUUUUUGUGUUUGGGGUAAAGACUUUAACAGAUUAUCUUCAGCUUCCCAGAUCAGUUUAAAAUACCACAAAAGAGAUUAAUGAGGAAAGUGUGACAGACGCUUUUAGGCCUUGUGUUGUCACGCCGCCUCACCCCCCGAGGCCGCCUUAGCAUGCGCACCUAUUUGCGCUGCUAUCUCUUUACAGUAUAUCUGUGUCAGCAGCGGGCUGAGGCGGGAGCUUGAGAAAUGGA